rnacentral:rRNA from 1 species
GAUGUUGGGUUAAGUCCCGCAACGAGCGCAAUCCUUAUCCUUAGUUGCCAGCACGUCUGGGUGGGCACUCUAAGGAAACUGCCGGUGCUAAGCCGGAGGAAGGUGGGGAUGACGUCAAGUCCUCAUGGCCCUUACACCCUGGGCUACACACGUGCUACAAUGGCAGUGACAAUGGGCUAAUCCCAAAAAGCUGUCUCAGUUCGGAUUGGGGUCUGCAACUCGACCCCAUGAAGUUGGAAUCGCUAGUAAUCGCGGAUCAGCACGCCGCGGUGAAUACGUUCCCGGGCCUUGUACACACCGCCCGUCAAGCCAUGGAAGCCGG